rnacentral:rRNA from 1 species
AGAGCGAACGCUGGCGGCAGGCCUAACACAUGCAAGUCGAGCGCCCGUAGCAAUACGGGAGCGGCAGACGGGAUAGUAACACGUGGGAACGCGCCCUUCGGUUCGGAAUAACUCAGGGAAACUUGAGCUAAUACCGGAUACGCCCUUGCGGGGAAAGAUUUAUUGCCGAAGGAACGGCCCGCGUCCGAUUAGCUAGUUGGUGAGGUAAUGGCUCACCAAGGCGACGAUCGGUAGCUGGUCUGAGAGGAUGACCAGCAUCACUGGGACUGAGACACGGCCCAGACUCCUACGGGAGGCAGCAGUGGGGAAUAUUGGACAAUGGGCGCAAGCCUGAUCCAGCCAUGCCGCGUGGAUGAUGAAGGCCUUAGGGUUGUAAAGUCCUUUUAACGGGGAAGAUAAUGACGGUACCCGUAGAAUAAGCCCGGCUAACUUCGUGCCAGCAGCCGC